rnacentral:rRNA from 1 species
UGCGUAAUAGCUCACUGGUCGAGUGACCCUGCGCCGAAAAUUCAACGGGGCUAAACAAUGUACCGAAGCUUGGGAUUCUAAAGUAAUUUAGAGUGGUAGGAGAGCGUCGAAUAAGGGGUGAAGUCAGAGCGGAAGCGCUGGUGGACUUUAUUCGAGUGAGAAUGCCGGAAUGAGUAGCGAGAAUUAUGUGAGAAUCAUAAUGGCCGAAAGCCUAAGGUUUUUGGAGGAAGGUUCGUCCGCUCCAAGUAAGUCGGAAGCUAAGGUGAGGCUGAAAAGCGUAGCCGAUGCACAAACGGUUGAAAUUCCGUUACCACAGAAAGAUUUAAACUAAGGGACACUUUUGAAGAGCUGAUGCCGGGUGUUGGUUACCCCGGUCGUAAGGGAACGAAAUUAAGUAGUGAAGUCAGCGUGGAUGAAGGCGAGAAAAGCUUAGUGUAUAUCUUAUGUGUCCGUACCGCAAACCGACACAGGUAGGUAGGAAGAGAAUUCUAAGGCCAACGGGAGAAGGGUAGUUAAGGAACUCGGCAAAAUGUCCCCGUAACUUCGGAAUAAGGGGAGGUUUCUACGGAAACCCGCAGAGAAUAGUCCCAGGCAACUGUUUAUCAAAAACACAGCUCUAUGCUAAAUCGAAAGAUGACGUAUAUGGGGUGACGCCUGCCCGGUGCCGGAAGGUUAAGAGGAGGAGUGAGAGCCCUGAAUCGAAGCCCCGGUAAACGGCGGCCGUAACUAUAACGGUCCUAAGGUAGCGAAAUUCCUUGUCAGGUAAGUUCUGACCCGCACGAAUGGCGUAAUGAUUUGGGCACUGUCUCGACAGCCCGCCCGGCGAAAUUGUAGUACUGGUGAAGAUGCCAGUUACCCGCAACUAGACGGAAAGACCCCAUGGAGCUUUACUGCAGUUUAAUACUGGGAAUCGGUAAUGCAUGUACAGGAUAGGUGGGAGACUAGGAAGCAUGGUCGUCAGGUCAUGUGGAGUCACCGGUGGGAUACCACUCUUGUAUUGCUGAUUUCCUAACCUGCGGCCGUGAAUCCGGUCGGGGGACACUGUUAGACGGGCAGUUUGACUGGGGCGGUCGCCUCCAAAAGAGUAACGGAGGCGCUCAAAGGUUCGCUCAGCAUGGACGGAAACCAUGCUAUUGAGUGUAAACGCAAAAGCGAGCCUAACUGCGAGACUGACGGGUCGAGCAGUAACGAAAGUUGGAGUUAGUGAUCCGGUGGUAUGUGAGUGGAAAUGCCAUCGCUCAACGGAUAAAAGCUACCCUGGGGAUAACAGGCUGAUCUCCCCCAAGCGUCCACAGCGACGGGGAGGUUUGGCACCUCGAUGUCGGCUCGUCACAUCCUGGGGCUGAAUUCGGUCCCAAGGGUUCGGCUGUUCGCCGAUUAAAGUGGCACGCGAGCUGGGUUCAGAACGUCGUGAGACAGUUCGGUCCCUAUCUGUUGCGGGCGUAAGAGAUUUGAAGGGAGCUGUCCUUAGUACGAGAGGACCGGGAUGGACGUACCUCUGGUGCACCAGUUGUCCUGCCAAGGGCAUAGCUGGGUAGCUAUGUACGGACGAGAUAAACGCUGAAAGCAUCUAAGCGUGAAACUCCCCCUAAGAUGAGAUCUCUCAUCCUUUAAGGAGUAAGGACCCAGAAAGACGAUCUGGUUGAUAGGCCGAAGGUGGAAGCGCAGUAAUGUGUGCAGCUGAUCGGUACUAAUAGUCCGAGGGCUUGACCUA